rnacentral:rRNA from 1 species
UACGAAGGGGCUAGCGUUGCUCGGAAUUACUGGGCGUAAAGGGCGCGUAGGCGGCACUGUUAGUCAGGCGUGAAAGUCCUGGGCUCAACCUGGGAACUGCGCUUGAUACGGCAGAGCUAGAGGAUGGAAGAGGGUCGCGGAAUUCCCAGUGUAGAGGUGAAAUUCGUAGAUAUUGGGAAAGAACACCGGUGGCGAAGGCGGCGACCUGGUCCAUUACUGACGCUGAGACGCGAAGCGUGGGGAGCGAACAGG